AUUUCAUGUGAGAAGCUGCAUACAAUAUAAUGCUAAGGUUUCCACAAGCAAGACUUUUUAUAUGACUCUGUGUAAGCAGUAUAAGAUUUGCU